GACAGAGGGUGCAAACGUUGUUCGGAAUUACUGGGCGUAAAGCGCGUGUAGGCGGCUCUGCAAGUCGGGUGUGAAAUCCCAUGGCUCAACCAUGGAAGUGCACUCGAAACUGCAGGGCUAGAGUCCUGGAGAGGAAGGUGGAAUGCUUGGUGUAGAGGUGAAAUUCGUAGAUAUCGAGCGGAACACCGGUGGCGAAGGCGGCCUUCUGGACAGUGACUGACGCUGAGACACGAAAGCGUGGGUAGCAAACAGG
rnacentral:rRNA from 1 species